UCGCGCGAACCGUACCGCAAACCAACUCAGGUGGAUGGGAUGAAUAAUCCAAGGCGCUCGAGAGAACUCUGGCCAAGGAACUCGGCAAAUUGACCCCGUACCUUCGGAAUAAGGGGUGCUCCCCAUGGUGAGGCAGAUUCCUGCUCAGCCUCAGGGAGCCGCAGAGAAAUGGUGGUGGCGACUGUUUACUAAAAACAUAGGUCUGUGCGAAGUCCUACAGACGACGUAUACGGACUGACGCCUGCCCGGUGCCGGAAGGUUAAAAGGAGGAGUCAGCGCAAGCGAAGCUCCGAUUUGAAGCCCCGGUAAACGGCGGCCGUAACGAUAACGGUCCUAAGGUAGCGAAAUUCCUUGUCGGGCAAGUUCCGACCUGCACGAAUGGCGUAACGAUCUCCACGCUGUCUCGGCCAGAGACUCGGUGAAAUUGAAGUCGCGGUGAAAAUGCCGUGUACCCGCAGAAAGACGGAAAGACCCUGUGCACCUUUACUAUAGCUUGACAUUGGGUUUUGAACCUGCAUGUGUAGGAUAGGUGGGAGGCUGUGAAAGCUGUACGCCAGUAUGGCCGGAGCCACCCGUGAAAUACCACCCUUGUUUGUUCAGGACCCUAACUCGCAGCUGUAAUCCAGCGCGAAGACAGUGUCUGGUGGGUAGUUUGACUGGGGCGGUCGCCUCCUAAAGAGUAACGGAGGCAUGCAAAGGUUCCCUCAGGCUGAUUGGAAACCAGCCGUUGAGUGCAAGCGCAUAAGGGAGCUUGACUGCAAGAGAGACAUCUCGAACAGAUACGAAAGUAGGUGCUAGUGAUCCGGUGGUCCCGAAUGGAAGGGCCAUCGCUCAUUGGAUAAAAGGUACGCCGGGGAUAACAGGCUGAUCGCAUCCAAGAGUUCACAUCGACGAUGCGGUUUGGCACCUCGAUGUCGGCUCAUCACAUCCUGGGGCUGAAGCAGGUCCCAAGGGUACGGCUGUUCGCCGUUUAAAGUGGUACGCGAGCUGGGUUUAAAACGUCGUGAGACAGUUUGGUCCCUAUCUUCUGUGGGCGUAGGAGAAUUGAGAGGGUUUGUCCCUAGUACGAGAGGACCGGGAUGAACGCACCACUGGUGGAUCAGUUGUCGCGCCAGCGGCAUAGCUGAGUAGCUAUGUGCGGAAUGGAUAACCGCUGAAAGCAUCUAAGCGGGAAGCCAGCCUCGAGAUAAGUUCUCCCUGUCGCAAGACACUAAAGGGCCGAUGAAGACUACAUCGUUGAUAGGCCGGAGGUGGAAGCGCUGCGAAGCGUGGAGCUGACCGGUACUAAUAGCCCGUGCGCCC
rnacentral:rRNA from 1 species